rnacentral:rRNA from 1 species
AGUGAACGCUGGCGGUAGGCCUAACACAUGCAAGUCGGACGGCAGCACAGUAAGAGCUUGCUCUUACGGGUGGCGAGUGGCGGACGGGUGAGGAAUACAUCGGAAUCUACUUUUUCGUGGGGGAUAACGUAGGGAAACUUACGCUAAUACCGCAUACGACCUACGGGUGAAAGCAGGGGAUCUUCGGACCUUGCGCGAUUGAAUGAGCCGAUGUCGGAUUAGCUAGUUGGCGGGGUAAAGGCCCACCAGGGCGACGAUCCGUAGCUGGUCUGAGAGGAUGAUAAGCCACACUGGAACUGAGACACGGUCCAGACUCCUACGGGAGGCAGCAGUGGGGAAUAUUGGACAAUGGGCGCAAGCCUGAUCCAGCCAUACCGCGUGGGUGAAGAAGGCCUUCGGGUUGUAAAGCCCUUUUGUUGGGAAAGAAAAGCAGCAGGUUAAUACCCCGCUGUUCUGACGGUACCCAAAGAAUAAGCACCGGCUAACUUCGUG